rnacentral:rRNA from 1 species
GACGAACGCUGGCGGCGUGCUUAACACAUGCAAGUCGAACGCUGAACCCGCUUCGGUGGGGGAUGAGUGGCGAACGGGUGAGUAACACGUGGGCAACCUUCCCCCGGCUCUGGGAUAACUCCAAGAAAUUGGGGCUAAUACCGGAUGUGACCGCUGGCCGCAUGGUCUGGUGGUGGAAAGGGUUUCCGGCUGGGGAUGGGCCCGCGGCCUAUCAGCUUGUUGGUGGGGUAGUGGCCUACCAAGGCGACGACGGGUAGCCGGCCUGAGAGGGUGACCGGCCACACUGGGACUGAGACACGGCCCAGACUCCUACGGGAGGCAGCAGUGGGGAAUAUUGCGCAAUGGGCGGAAGCCUGACGCAGCGACGCCGCGUGGGGGAUGACGGCCUUCGGGUUGUAAACCUCUUUCAGCAGGGACGAAGCGCAAGUGACGGUACCUGCAGAAGAAGCACCGGCCAACUACGUG